rnacentral:rRNA from 1 species
AUGUCGUCAGUGCAGCUCUCUGGUGCGGGUGUUGCCGCGGUGGCCUUCAGCAACAAUGGCCUGCGCCUCUCUCAGACGUCGGCACUAAGGGUGUGCUCUUCCAGGCGCUCGUCUCGUAGCCUCGUUGUCAAGGCUGCCACUGUCGUCACCCCGAAGUAUACAUCACUCAAGCCUCUGGGAGACAGAGUGCUCGUGAAGCUUAGCGCAGCUGAGGAGAAGACCAUUGGUGGAAUUUUGCUUCCAUCGUCCGCGCAGUCUAAGCCUCAGGGAGGUGAGAUUGUGGCUGUUGGAGGGGGUAGAACCAUUGGGGAUAAGAAGGUGGAGGUCAGCAUACCGACUGGAUCUCAAGUUGUAUACUCAAAGUACGCUGGUACUGAGGUUGAAUACAACAACUCCAAGCAUCUUAUUAUGAAAGAGGAUGACAUCAUAGGUAUUCUUGAAUCUGAUGAUGUCAAAGACAUGAAGCCUCUCAAUGACCGGAUUCUGAUCAAGGUUGCAGAGGCUUCAGACAAGACUGAAGCUGGUCUUAUCCUCACCGAGACAACCAAGGAGAAGCCAUCCAUUGGAACAGUCGUAGCUGUUGGUCCGGGCUCUCUCGACGAGGAAGGCAAGAGGCAGCCAUUGUCGGUGUCACCAGGCAGCACCGUCCUGUACUCCAAGUACGCAGGCGGUGAGUUCAAGGGAGCUGAUGGCACGAACUACAUUGUGUUGAGAGUGUCUGAUGUGAUGGCCGAGCUCUCUUAA